rnacentral:rRNA from 1 species
GGAGGAAAGUAGGGGAUCGCAAGACCUUGCGCUCUUGGAGCGGCCGAUGCCUGAUUAGCUAGUUGGUGAGGUAAAGGCUUACCAAGGCGACGAUCAGUAGCUGGUCUGAGAGGACGACCAGCCACACUGGGACUGAGACACGGCCCAGACUCCUACGGGAGGCAGCAGUGGGGAAUUUUGGACAAUGGGGGAAACCCUGAUCCAGCCAUGCCGCGUGAGUGAAGAAGGCCUUCGGGUUGUAAAGCUCUUUCAGCCGGAACGAAACGGUCACGGCUAAUACCUGUGACUACUGACGGUACCGGAAGAAGAAGCACCGGCUAACUACGUGCCAGCAGCCGCGGUAAUACGUAGGGUGCAAGCGUUAAUCGGAAUUACUGGGCGUGAAGCGUGCGCAGGCGGUUUUGUAAGUCAGAUGUGGAAUCCCCGGGCUUAACCUGGGAACUGCGUUUGAAACUACAAGGCUAG